rnacentral:rRNA from 1 species
AACGAACGCUGGCGGCAUGCCUAACACAUGCAAGUCGAACGAGACCUUCGGGUCUAGUGGCGCACGGGUGCGUAACGCGUGGGAAUCUGCCCCCUGGUACGGAAUAACUCCGGGAAACUUGAGCUAAUACCGUAUACUGACUUCGGUCCAAAGAUUUAUCGCCUGAGGAUGAGCCCGCGUCGGCUUAGCUAGUUGGUGAGGUAAAGGCUCACCAAGGCGACGAUCCGUAGCUGGUCUGAGAGGAAGAUCAGCCACACUGGGACUGAGACACGGCCCAGACUCCUACGGGAGGCAGCAGUGGGGAAUAUUGGACAAUGGGCGAAAGCCUGAUCCAGCAAUGCCGCGUGAGUGAUGAAGGCCUUAGGGUUGUAAAGCUCUUUUACCCGGGAUGAUAAUGACAGUACCGGGAGAAUAAGCCCCGGCUAACUCCGUGCCAGCCGCCGCCGUAA